CGAACUGGUGAGUAACACGUGGGAAAUCUGCCCAGAAGCAGGGGAUAACACUUGGAAACAGGUGCUAAUACCGUAUAACAACAAAAUCCGCAUGGAUUUUGUUUGAAAGGUGGCUUCGGCUAUCACUUCUGGAUGAUCCCGCGGCGUAUUAGUUAGUUGGUGAGGUAAAGGCCCACCAAGACGAUGAUACGUAGCCGACCUGAGAGGGUAAUCGGCCACAUUGGGACUGAGACACGGCCCAA
rnacentral:rRNA from 1 species